rfam:Kluyvera intermedia strain CAV1151, complete genome.
GGUGGUUAAUUCUUAACCAUUGAUGCGGAUCCCAAAUAAACAGUAUCUUUGAAAAAACUUAGCGACAUUUAUCACUUUUUGAUGAAUAACGACUGGACAAAAGUCUUCACAAUUGUUGUACUGUAACUCGACACAGCAUUUGUGUCGUUUUUCAUGUAAAGGUAAUAUUGAUGUCUAAGAUUAAAGGUAACGUUAAGUGGUUUAAUGAAUCCAAAGGAUUCGGUUUCAUUACUCCGGAAGAUGGCAGCAAAGACGUGUUCGUACACUUCUCUGCAAUCCAGAGCAAUGGUUUCAAAACUCUGGCUGAAGGUCAGCGUGUAGAGUUCGAAAUCACUAACGGUGCCAAAGGUCCUUCUGCUGCUAACGUAAUGGCUAUCUAAGUUAGCAAUAAGACAGAAUUAUAAAACCCGCCUCUAAGGCGGGUUUUUUUU